GCCGACCCCGGACCAAAAGUAGCGCUGCAGCCGACCGAACCGCGUCCUCCCGCCCCGUCCUCCCCUCCCCCACGCCGGGACGGCCUCCCGGGGGAGGCCCCGAGGAAAAAAAUCCAGGCUCGAACUCCGCCCCCUGCCGGCCGCCAGCAGGAGUGAAGCGCCACAAUCCAACAAUGAAAUGGAACCGGGGAGGGGCGGCGGGAAGGUUAUAGUGCCAUCAUGUGGAUACUUUGUUUUCUUCAAAUAAAAUGUAACCUUUUUAUAACAGAGACUAGAAAACCCAGCCAUCCCAACACCCAGGCUGUGCAAAGAAAUUGGGGCCAAACGUUUUUUUGCCAUGUUCUGAAAAGGAUAGAGGCACUCUCCAUUCCUGAUUGUUCCAAGGCUCAAGUGGUCAGAAAUGACUGGGAAGAAGGGAGAAAAACUCAGGUGGCAAAGGACAUGGACGAAAACCCAUGGCGACAUGGAAAGAAAACCCUGUGAUAUAGAGAGGAAAAGCACAGGACAGCUUAUUGGGGAGA
rnacentral:lncRNA from 1 species